UACGGAGGGUGCAAGCGUUAUCCGGAUUUAUUGGGUUUAAAGGGUGCGUAGGCGGGCUAUUAAGUCAGUGGUGAAAGCCCCAAGCUUAACUUGGGAACUGCCAUUGAUACUGAUGGUCUUGAGUACAUUUGAGGUGGGCGGAAUGUGUCAUGUAGCGGUGAAAUGCUUAGAUAUGACACAGAACACCGAUUGCGAAGGCAGCUCACUAAACUGUAACUGACGCUGAGGCACGAAAGCGUGGGGAGCAAACAGG
rnacentral:rRNA from 1 species